CCUUGAAGCCUAUAUCAGCCUGCGCAGUCCGAAAAUCCUUUUCGAAAAACUGUGCAGGCCAGACUGUACAGUUCAAAUUCGCACGUGCAGAGGCACUGUGGGAUCUCCCUUGAAGAUUCAUGCGAUAUCACUUAUUAUUUUCAUUUUGUUUGUUUCUGCGUGUGUACCUUUAAAUAAACUACCGUUUAAAAUGAGCCGAGAAUUUAUUGAAGAAUUUAAUAAACUUUAUGAGAGUAAGCUUUGUCUUUGGCACAUCAAAUUAAAAGAUUACCGUGACAAGAACAAAAACGAUUCUGCGUACGCCUAAUUAGUCAACAGAGAGAAGUUGAACCAAAUGCCACAAAGGACAGCGUAAUAAAAAAUUAAACAAUAUGAGAAGCGUUUAUAGAAAGGAGAAUACAAAAAUAAAAGAAUCCAUUAAGUCUGGUGUAUUAACAGAUAAAUUUUAGAGUCACCGUGAGCCUUUCAUGAGGUGAAAUGGCUUGUCUCAUUACUGUAUCAUUUUUUUAAAAAUUGAUAAUUAGAUAAAUUUCUUAAUUAUUUCCAUUAAAAUUAAAUGUUCUAUUACUUAAAAUAUGUUUUUAUAGAGAAAAACUACGUUCUACGUGUACACCAGUUAUUGGUGCAUAUUUAAAACAUUUUAAUAAAGCAGGUGUUAAAUCUAAAUUAACAUUUACUUUAUCUGACAUGACUUCAUAGUACGACUUUAAAGUUUUAUUUUCUUCGUUUUUUUAAUUACAUACAUACAUUUUUCUUUAAUUUUUUUCACAUUUGUACCAUGAAUAUUUGUU